AGAAACUUAGGUUAACCAGACCAAGAGCCUUCAAAGCCCUAAGCAGGAGUUAAAAUCUUCUAGUUUCUG
rnacentral:tRNA from 1 species